CCUACGGGAGGCAGCAGUGGGGAAUAUUGGGCAAUGGGCGCAAGCCUUACCCAGCAAUAUCGCGUGAGUGAAGAAGGUCUUCGGAUUGUAAAGCUCUUUGAUCAGGGACGAACAGAUGACGGUACCUGCAGAACAAGCCCCGGCUUACUACGUGCCAGCAGCCGCGGUCAAACGUAGGGGGCGAGCGUUGUCCGGAAUGACUGGGCGUAAAGGGUGCGUAGGCGGUAUAAUAAGGUAAAAGUGGAAUACCCAGAGCUUAACUCGGGUGCUGCUUCUAAGACUGUUAGGCUUGAGUACGGGGGAGGUUAAUGGAAUUCGUGGUGUAGCGGUGGAAUGCGUAGAUAUUAGGAGGAACACC
rnacentral:rRNA from 1 species